UACAAUGGAGUGAAGGUAACGACAGAAAACGGUGAAACAUUUGUUGCAGACGCUGCAGUAAUCGCUGUUCCUCUCGGUGUCUUAAAAUCCGGAACCAUAACAUUCGAACCAAAGCUACCAGAGUGGAAACAAGAAGCCAUCAACGACCUCGGAGUAGGAAUCGAAAACAAGAUCAUACUCCACUUCGAAAAAGUCUUCUGGCCAAAAGUAGAGUUUCUCGGAGUAGUCGCAGAAACCUCCUACGGCUGCAGCUAUUUUCUAAACCUCCACAAGGCCACAGGACACCCGGUUCUUGUCUACAUGCCGGCCGGUCAGCUCGCCAAAGACAUCGAGAAGAUGUCUGAUGAAGCAGCUGCGAAUUUCGCCGUCUUGCAGCUCCAGAGGAUACUUCCUGAUGCUCUCCCUCCGGUGCAGUAUCUAGUAUCGAGGUGGGGGUCUGAUGUAAACUCGUUGGGAUCUUAUAGCUAUGAUAUCGUGGGGAAGCCUCAUGAUUUGUAUGAGAGGCUAAGGGUUCCGGUGGAUAAUUUAUUCUUUGCUGGUGAAGCGACGAGCUCGAGUUUCCCGGGGUCGGUUCAUGGGGCGUAUUCAACUGGUUUGAUGGCUGGUGAGGAUUGUAGGAUGCGUGUGUUGGAGAGGUAUGGUGAGUUGGAUCUGUUUCAGCCUGUGAUGGGUGAAGAAGGACCUGCUUCUGUUCCUCUUCUUAUAUCUCGUCUCUAAAACUCAUUCAUCUUUUAUCAAACCAGUCUAUGCAAUCUGUUGUGCUAUAAAGAACCUGUAAGUGAUUUGGCUUGUCUUGUUGGGAAAACAAUAACUAUUAUAGUGUUGGAUCAUUAAAACUUUUGAAUGUGAACAUUAUGCCUUGUGAUAUAUUUAUAUCCCUAUUUAUAUAUGACAAUCACCUUUGAGGAUUUAAGUAUUAACUUUUCUUACUUCCGCUAUAGCCUAUAACUCAUUUCUCUCUUUUUCUGUGGAAUUUAGUACACUAGUUUUUUACACUAUGUUAUAAAUUUUCAUGUAAAUAUAUUUUCUUUUAAUUUGUAUAAUUGUUAACAAAUCAAUUUUUUUCUAAGAUUUUUUUUUUUGAAUGUUAAAUUUUAUUCAAACAAAAAAAAACCACUUUGUUUACAUUUACGCUUCAUAUGAAGGAAUGAAAAUUGGAACAUUUAUGAUCUACUCUUCUACUGGUCUUGUGGAAAACCAGUAUCUAAGACCCCUCUCCAAGCGAGCAUCCCAUGCUCUUUGUACAGAAAGAAAUCUAUUUCUUGUAUUCCUAUCUAUGGUUCUGAUCAGAAUUGCUGAAGUUGAAGGCUUCUCUCCAUGCCUCCGCCCAUUUCUUUCCAUCCAUAUACCAUUUUUCUAAGAUUGAAGAUUAGUAAACAUUUAAUCAGAUAGUUUUCACUAUUUUCACAAAAGAAAUACACAAUGCAAUCAAAGAAAAAACAAUGGCCUGUAAGUUAUAACUCAUAGUAAGACAAAAACCAGAUUUUAUAUUAAACAUUUUCUAUUAAUUUAUAUGAUUGUCAAUCAUUUUUGAUAAAAUUUGAAACUUCUAUUUCAUAAUAUAUUUAAUAUUAAGAGAUAUUUAAUCAAACCACUGAACUCAAAAUGUUUUACUACCUUGACCUAAACACAAUGCUAUCAAAGCAAAACUAUAGCCUGUAACUCAGAAUAACUUCUUUCAAAAAAGAAAAAACUCAGAAAAACCACUUAUGAGGAAGAAAAUGUAGAACAGAACUUUUAGGGUCCAAUGUUACAAAUGUGAAAUAGAAGCGCUGUGAAUUGCAAUAAUGAGUAUGUUGAGGGGUACAUUGAUAAAUUUCAUAAAUUACGAAAUGGAGAAAAGAAGAUAAGAGUAGAACAGAGUUUAGUUCAUCCUCUCCAGUUUCUUCUCAGCAUUUCAGUACGGUAUAUUUGUCAUUUCGCACGACGCAGACCUUUUGAUAAACUAGUCCAGAUUCCAUUACUGUUUCUUGACUUUCUUCUACGAUCUUUCUGAAUCCUCGAGUAUGUAAAGCAACCACAAGUGAGCGAUCACAAAGCCAAAACAUACAAACGUACGAGAAAGAGGCUAAAGGAGAAGAUGGUACACGAUCAUUAUGCAGAUUUUUACGUACCAAAAACAUUAAAGAGGAUCUACAAAUCAGAUAACACAGAUCAUACUAAGCCAGAAUAGGUCGAGAUCUGCCAUAUUUGCCACAAAAGCUUUUUUUUUAUCAAGAUCCCAAGAUCAUCCCCUUAUAAUUCCAUAAGCUUCACAUCCUCCACAUGAUUCAGAUAUGUGUGAACAUAAUAUCUCCCUCCACUCCCAAACGCUCCCAUUCCUUGGAUUACAACUCUUGUUACGCCACAUUCAGUCAUUCUCCAUGCCGGUUUCUCAGUUCCUCCUAAUGUCAGGACUUGAUGCUUCAUAGGUCUGUCGUUGCGAUGACGGAUCAUUAACGUCAUGGUCCCUGGAUAGCAACUGAAGCUAUAGAAAAGAGUCUGUGACGAAACCAGGAAGGAGCCGAAGCAGUGACACACCCGUUCAAUACCCUGAUCACAAUUCACAAUCUGAUAAGCGAUUGGGCCCAUAUCUUGAGCUUCGAAUAAAUAGUUAAUGGGCUGUGUGGCUCUGUGUCCUAAUCUAACUAUCUAUUUCUGUUGACGUAAGGCCCAAACUUGAAGUUCAGAUGCCCCAGGUGGAUGAUCAGGUUCUCCAUCUCAUCAUGCAUGACUACAACAUCAUUAUUGGAGUUAUGUAUUAUAAUUUUCUUAUAUAUUAAUUUACGAGCCUAUGAAAAACUUGAAAAAUUUGUUAAAGUCUCUCGUUUAUAUUUAAUUUUGGAAGAUUUUAGUUUAUAAUUUUGAUGUAGAUAGAGAAUUAUAUGUGUUUAAAAAGGACUUAGUAUUUUCAUAAACUCCUAACGAUUUACAAGAAUUAAGGGGAACAGGUAGAAAUGUUAAUAAGAAUGUGAUGAAGCUAAACGCCCAUCCACAUGAAAGUCAAUCAUGGUGAAAAUGGACCAAAAGUUUCUAAAUACCAAAUACUCAAUAAUUUAAGUUUGAGUCCUUGAAAAGUUUUCGUCAACGAUCAUCAAAAGCUUUUCAAUUCAUCGUAGCUCAGAACAGUACUGUAUGAAAGUUAGUCCGUGGCAACUGUCAUACCAAAAGAAACAAAAAUAAUAAUAUAAAUUACACAAUUUUUUUACUGAAAAUACACAUUUGUUCAUAAUUGGAUUGACUUGUAAAAAAAAAGAUGACCUCACACACACAUACAAGUACGCAACACAUAAUACAUAACAUUGACUCAUAGUCGUACCACAAACCCAUUUGCAUUUUCCACCAAUUAUAGAAUUAUCUUCUUCUCAUCACCUUUUGCCAAUAAUAAUUAGUAGCUUUCUAUUGGAUUUUUCUAUAAAUUAUGUAAAUGAGAAGAGAAUAUUAAAGUCUUUUGCAUGUCCUGUUAAAUGAUACAGAACAAAAGCGUUAGGUAGCAUUCACAGUUCUACGACGACCUUCAUUUUCUCGUUUCUGUGUAAACGAUUCAAAUCAAUCAACUUCAAACUCUUAUAACCAAAGUUCUAAUUUUUCCUUAUAUUUUGUUGACUAGUUAACAAAAUUUUUGCUCUCGCAAGAAAUUCUAACUUUGGAACGUUGAAGCAUUUUAUUUGACUGCAAUAAUCUCAAUUUAGUAGAGAAAUAAUUGAGAAGAUGUAGCUAGCUAGAGUUCCCCACAUCCAUGGAAUAGUUAUUGUUACAAAGGUGCAAGGACCAGCUCUAGCAUCCAAAUAAUUUGGAAGCUUUAAAUCUUCUUUUUCUACUUAAAAUAUAUUAGAAAAUUGUCGUUUAUACUUUCACAUUAUUAUCGGCAGCUUUUAAACUGUAAGCUGGAAUUUUGUUAUUCAUAGAAAAUUAAUCAACUAAAUCUACAUAAAACACAUAUGUUAAUUAAUCAAAUCACUGAUAGUCUAUCCUUUUCGCUCUCAUUUGGCAUUGAGAAACACUUGAGCUUAUCGUAAGGUCCCUAUUGAUUUGUCCCGUUUCAAAACUAUCAAAAGUUAGUUCUUACGUAUAGUCAAUCAUCAAAUCAUCUAUAAACUUAUAAUAUUAUAAAUAUGCAACUUCUUAUAUUAUGUAUUUAGGCCUAACACAUAUGAAUGUACAAACAACACAAUUUGUAAAUAAGAUUAGAUUAUGUUAUGUAAAAAUUAUUUAAUCUUAUAACUAACAAAUAUUUAUAAAAAAAAUUAAAAGGAACAAAUCCCGCGCUUUUAAAGCGCGGGUCAAAAUCUAGUUUAUGAUUUAAAAUAGAAAAUUAUUAUAAAUGUAUAAUUCAAUAAUAGUAUCUUAAUCUUUUGUUUUUUAAUAAAACUUAUUUGGUUAUUUCUUUUUUGCGGGCUAUUUUGUUCAUAAAAUUAUUUUUAUGUCUUUUAGGAGAUUUGCCUUUUUCUUUAAGGUUGUUGUAGCCAUAACCUAUGGUUCUUUUGCUUCUCAGGGUUACUAAGAUUGUAAGACGGUACAAUGGAGUGAAGGUAACGACAGAAAACGGUGAAACAUUUGUUGCAGACGCUGCAGUAAUCGCUGUUCCUCUCGGUGUCUUAAAAUCCGGAACCAUAACAUUCGAACCAAAGCUACCAGAGUGGAAACAAGAAGCCAUCAACGACCUCGGAGUAGGAAUCGAAAACAAGAUCAUACUCCACUUCGAAAAAGUCUUCUGGCCAAAAGUAGAGUUUCUCGGAGUAGUCGCAGAAACCUCCUACGGCUGCAGCUAUUUUCUAAACCUCCACAAGGCCACAGGACAUCCAGUUCUUGUCUACAUGCCGGCCGGUCAGCUCGCCAAAGACAUCGAGAAGAUGUCUGAUGAAGCAGCUGCGAAUUUCGCCGUCUUGCAGCUCCAGAGGAUACUUCCUGAUGCUCUCCCUCCGGUGC
rnacentral:lncRNA from 1 species